rnacentral:lncRNA from 1 species
CAGCCCUCCAGACUUCACCCUGACAUUUGUCAAAGAACUGACCGCAGCAGCUCUUGAAAAGAAGCCUGAAACACAUUGCAAACCAGGUUCACCCUAAAGGAGAAGAAAAAAAAAGAUGAAGUUAAGAAAGACAUGAUGAAAUAUAUGAACCUUCUCAUAAUGGUGCCUGAGGAGCUUCUGCCAGGGAUGGAGAAAGGGAAGUUUAUCUGCCAUUGCAUUGUGAUAGAAAGGAACCUGUGGAUUGUACAACAGUCUGCAAAGGAAAAGGAGCACUCAAAGACUCCUUAUCUCUGCAGCUUUUGGUCCAUCCCAGAGACAGCACUCUCUCCAGCUGCAGACCUACUGGUCAGACUUGUCAAUCAUCUCCCGUAACCCAGUACCUCAAUUAAAGAAGAGGUGAGAAGAAAGAAAAAGGAAAAUUACAGAGGCACGUAGAAGAUGGAGAUGACCUAACUCUGUUUUGUUCAACUGCCUGAGGACAGAGCAAAGCUAAUUCACUGCCGACAUUCAUCGGCUGAAAAAUACUUCAUUGUCCAAAGGAGAAAAGCAUUCAUACACUUCAUUUUAAGCAUGUGCUAUUAACACUCACUGCCUUUUAAACUAAGGAAAAAUAUUAACUUGGAACUUUGUGCACUGCACAUGCUGCUGCCUAACAGAGCGAGCUCAAUGGCCAAAAGGCAAGCAAGAGAGUAAGGCUUUUGUAAAGUCUUUGAACUAUGUAACUCCCAAAAAGGGGAUGACUCGCACCACACGUGCAAGCUGAACCCAACUGCUCUGCAAGUCACCAUGAAUCUGAAUGAGUAAAGCCAGAAGUGCCAGCAGCUGGCUCACAGUACAGCCCAACUCUUAAAAUCAC